rnacentral:rRNA from 1 species
GACGAACGCUGGCGGCGUGCCUAAUACAUGCAAGUCGAACGCUUCUUUCCUCCCGAGUGCUUGCACUCAAUUGGAAAGAGGAGUGGCGGACGGGUGAGUAACACGUGGGUAACCUACCCAUCAGAGGGGGAUAACACUUGGAAACAGGUGCUAAUACCGCAUAACAGUUUAUGCCGCAUGGCAUAAGAGUGAAAGGCGCUUUCGGGUGUCGCUGAUGGAUGGACCCGCGGUGCAUUAGCUAGUUGGUGAGGUAACGGCUCACCAAGGCCACGAUGCAUAGCCGACCUGAGAGGGUGAUCGGCCACACUGGGACUGAGACACGGCCCAGACUCCUACGGGAGGCAGCAGUAGGGAAUCUUCGGCAAUGGACGAAAGUCUGACCGAGCAACGCCGCGUGAGUGAAGAAGGUUUUCGGAUCGUAAAACUCUGUUGUUAGAGAAGAACAAGGACGUUAGUAACUGAACGUCCCCUGACGGUAUCUAACCAGAAAGCCACGGCUAACUACGUGCCAGCAGCCGCGGUAAUACGUAGGUGGCAAGCGUUGUCCGGAUUUAUUGGGCGUAAAGCGAGCGCAGGCGGUUUCUUAAGUCUGAUGUGAAAGCCCCCGGCUCAACCGGGGAGGGUCAUUGGAAACUGGGAGACUUGAGUGCAGAAGAGGAGAGUGGAAUUCCAUGUGUAGCGGUGAAAUGCGUAGAUAUAUGGAGGAACACCAGUGGCGAAGGCGGCUCUCUG